rnacentral:lncRNA from 1 species
CCGGCCGCGGAGUGAUGGUGGCCUCAGCGAAGAUGGGCCGGGCAGGGACCAUGGCGGUGGCAGCAGAGGUGGCAGGGGCGGGGCGGCUGGCGGUAGAGGAGGCUGUGGUCCUCAGGGGGCUGUAGGUGGAGGUAUGGCUCGGGCCAGCAGCGGGAACGGCAGCGAGGAGGCCUGGGGGGCACUUCGGGCGCCGCAACAGCAGCUUCGAGAGCUGUGCCCAGGAGUGAACAACCAGCCCUACCUCUGUGAGAGUGGUCACUGCUGCGGGGAGACUGGCUGCUGCACCUACUACUAUGAGCUCUGGAUGUGGUUCACCGCCCAGGCACACCACCCCCCCCUUAUACUGUGGCCCCAGGCCGCCCCUUGACUGCUUCCAGUGAACAAACCUGCUGUUCCUCCUCAUCCAGCUGCCCUGCCCACUUUGAAGGAACAAAUGUGGAAGGUGUUUCCUCCCACCAGAGUGCCCCCCCUCAUCAGGAGGGUGAGCCCGGGGCAGGGGUGACCCCUGCCUCCACACCCCCCUCCUGCCGCUAUCGCCGUUUAACUGGCGACUCCGGUAUUGAGCUCUGCCCUUGUCCUGCCUCCGGUGAGGGUGAGCCAGUCAAGGAGGUGAGGGUUAGUGCCACCCUGCCAGAUCUGGAGGACUACUCCCCGUGUGCACUACCCCCAGAGUCUGUACCGCAGAUCUUUCCCAUGGGGCUGUCUUCCAGUGAAGGGGACAUCCCAUAAGUAGUUUUGAGAGGGUGGAUGGGUUACUUGCCCACCAGAAACAGCCCUAGUCCCAACUCCUUGCGUUCCUUUGGCCCCUCCCUGCCUACCUAGAAUCUGCCUGAAAGGGCUGGAGAGGGGCAGUAUUGGGGGACUGUGCUAGCUUUACCCCCGCAGGACAUACACAGGAGCCUUUGAUCUCAUUAAAGAGAUGUGAAC